ACUGCCGGGACCUGCUCCCUCUUGCCCUCUCUUUCAUUUUAUACACAGAUCUGCCCUUCCAUCUGGAGCCCUCCUGCCUGGUACUGACCCUGGGAGGCAGCAGAGAUCCUAUCCCUAGGAGAGGGAUAAGACUUCAGGCCAACCCUGCUGUUCGGGUUCAAGACAGAAUAGCACACAAGGAAACAAAAGGACCACACGAAUGUUCGAAUCCUCCUUGGAAUAAAUAUUCCGUGAUAAUAAAAACGGUGCUAUAAAA